rnacentral:rRNA from 1 species
GAGUUUGAUCAUGGCUCAGAACGAACGCUGGCGGCAUGCCUAACACAUGCAAGUCGAACGAGACCUUCGGGUCUAGUGGCGCACGGGUGCGUAACGCGUGGGAAUCUGCCCUUGGGUUCGGGAUAACAGUUGGAAACGACUGCUAAUACCGAAUGAUGACUUCGGUCCAAAGAUUUAUCGCCCAGGGAUGAGCCCGCGUCGGAUUAGCUUGUUGGUGAGGUAAAGGCUCACCAAGGCGACGAUCCGUAGCUGGUCUGAGAGGAUGAUCAGCCACACUGGGACUGAGACACGGCCCAGACUCCUACGGGAGGCAGCAGUGGGGAAUAUUGGACAAUGGGCGCAAGCCUGACCCAGCCAUGCCGCGUGAGUGAUGAAGGCUCUAGGGUUGUAAAGCUCUUUCGCCGAUGAAGAUAAUGACGGUAGUCGGAGAAGAAGCCCCGGCUAACUUCGUGCCAGCCGCCG